rnacentral:tRNA from 1 species
AUUUAAAUAGUUUAAUGAAAAACCUUAGUUUGUGGAACUAAAAAUAUAUAAUAUAUUUUAAAUA